CAGAUCUGAGCCGAGUCUGUGACCUACACUGCAGCUCAUGGCAAGGCCGCAUCCUUAAUCUUCUGAGCCAGGCCAGGGAUUGAACCCCUGUCCGCAUGGGUCCUAGUCGGGUUUGUUACCACAGUGCCAUAACAGGAACUCCCCGACCUCAAGUUCUUAACCCACUGAGCCACAAUGGGAACUCCUGCUCAGGUAUUCGUAAGACAGCAGAGCGAGAGGGAGAGGUGGCAGGUGUGAGGGAGAGAGGGGGAGAUAAUUUAUACAGAAUAUGAAAGUUCAGUUUGAUGAGUGUUGACAGUUGAAUGUAUUUGUCUAUCACUGCCCAAAAUAGGAUAUAAAAUAUUUCAAAACCCAGGAAGUUCCCUUUUACCUCUAGUUAGUCUCCUUACCCUUAUUUAGCAAAUAUUUUCUGAUUCUGGUUACCCUGAUUAGAUUUGCCCAUUCUUGAGUAUAAGAUAAAUGGAAUCAUGCAGCAUGCAUUCUUUUUGUGUCUCUUUCACUCAACAUGUUCUUGGGGAUUCAUUCAUGUUUCACAUGUUGUCAAAGAUGAAACACCCUUUGUCACAGGUAAACAAAGCUGGAUACUCAUUAAAGUGGUAAGGUUAGAUUUUAGUCUGUAAUAACGAUUGCAGUGUGGCAAAGAAUCCAGCAUGAACUCAACUCAACUCCAGUUUGUACAGAGGGUGUUUUAAAGGAGAAUGAGAGAGGAAGGAGGUAGAAGCAGGGAUUCAUUGGAGUCAGAGAAAAAGCACGGAACGUGGGGAAGAGGGGGUUGGUCCACGUGAAAGCAUCUGGCUUUGCUAACUGGGGGACAGGGUGUUACCUGGAGCAAAGAGUAAGUUCUUUUGACAGCCUGGAGUUUUCUCAAGGAAGCAAGCCCUCUAAGGGGAACUGGAGUCAUCCUGGUGAUGUGGCCUUGAGCUGUUCGCACCUGAGUUCAAGUUUGCUCAGGCCUUUAUGUUCUUUUUUUUUUUUUUGGUCUUUUUGCCUUUUCUGGGGCCAAUCCCGUGGCAUAUGGAGAUUCCCAGUCUAGGGGUCUAAUUGGAGCUGUAGCCACUGGCCUAUGCCAGAGCCACAGCAAUGCAGAAUCCGAGCUGCAUCUGCAACCUACACCACAGCUCAUGGCAAUGCCAGAUCCUUAACCCACUGAGCAAGGCCAGGAAUUGAACCUGCAACCUCAUGGUUUCUAGUCGGAUUCGUUAACCACUGUGCCGCAGUGGGAACUCCAGGCCUUUAUAUUCUAAGCCCAGGUGGAGGUCUAGUCGAGGAGCAGCUCAGAGGAGGCAGGUGACAGGUUGGUCAAGGAGAGAAUUGUGGUCAGUGUCAAAUCAUGUGCUCCUUUUUGUGUUGUUGUGUGAAUAUAACACGAUUUGUUCUGUUCACCUGGUGGUACAGAUUUGAGUUGGAUCUGUGUUUGACCAUCAUGAACAGGCUGCAGGGAACACUGUUGUAGCAGUCUGAAAUGUCUCUUGGAUAGCUAUCUAGGAGUGGAAUUGCUUAGUCAUAUUGUGGGUAUGUAUUUAACUGCCAGAUGAAUUUCCACAGUGGUUUAUCAGUUUGCACUUCUCACUCGCCAUGUAUCCAAACUGCAGUGGCUCCAUAUCCUUGUUAAACAUUCAUUGUUGUUAGUGGAUGUGAACUAGCGUCUCAUUUUCAUCUUAAAUGAUACUCCCCUGGUGACAAAUGCGUACUUCUCAGGUGCUUAUUGGCCAUUUCUGCAACUUCUUUUGUGAAUGGUCUGUUGGAGUCCUUUGCCCAUUGUUGCUGCUGGUGAUCACGUUGGUUCCACCUUAUUAGAGGUCAUGAUACAUUCUGGAUAGGACUCCUUUGUCAGACACCUGUGUUGUGAAUAGAUAUGCAUGCACAGGAAAAUGAGAACUUAAAAUAUCAUUUACAAUAUAGCAUUACAAAAGACCAGCUGUUUAAGUCCCAGUCAAAACUCUAGCCAUCUUUUCUUUUUCUGUAAGAAAUUAGCAAAUUGAAUCUAAAUGUGUGUGGAAAUGCAAAGAAUCUGGACUAGCCAAAUAAAAUAUCUUCAAAAGAAGAGGGACUUAGGGGAAUUUACACGCUUCUACUAAUUGUAAAGCUACAGUUAAGCUACUGGGAUUUUAGGAUAUGAAUGAGUCCCAGCUCCUUGUUUAAAAAGCACUAUUUCAGACCAGGGAGCAGGUGUGCUCUGUUCUCCUUGGACAGUCUGGGCUUGUAGUGAAUUUUGUCCCUUAGCGAGUCCUUUGUGUGUUGCUGUGUUGAGUUGCUGCCUUGAGCAGCUUCACUUGCAUGCUUCCUCCUGGGUGUGUAUGGAUGUGCAAGCAUGGAUGCGAGAGGCUGGGGUGGGGAGGGGUUGACAUGUUUGUACCAAAUUCAGCACCUCUUGCAGUCAAGGCAGCAGGAAGCCUUGUUGCUGGAUGUGAAGAAAAGGAAGGAUGUGAUAUGUGCAUGGAGGAGCUGACAACCUAAUGGGUGACAUCCAGCAUAUCCCCCCCUCCUGCCCCACAUCUUCAGUUUGGACUUACUUAGCAAACAAUGUGGAAGUGGUUGUGUUAUUAGGAUAUCACUUAGGAUGCUUUAAGCUGCAAGUAACAGAAGCCCGACUCAAUUUGGCUUAAGUUGUAAAGACCUAUAUCAUCUCACUGGUACCUCACUCAUAUUCCUAGGGACGUAGAGAAGGCUCCAGGCCAUGGGGCAUGACGAAGCCUUAGGGAUCCAGGUUCCUUCUAUGACUUGUCAUUUGUCCUCAGGCUGGUUCCACUCAUGGUGGCAGGAGACUUUCAGGGGUCAGCUGGGCUUCAGCUCCCCAAGUUGGAACACUCUCGCUUUAAAUCCUGGUAGUGUAGGUGAGGAUAGAGUUUUGGCUUCCUUAGCAUUUCCCAAGUUGUAGCUGUUUUGUGUAUGUGUUCCUGGUUUCCCUCCUUAGACCUGACUAAGGGACAGGAAAUGACAGGUGUAUAUGAAUCCAGAGAAAUUCCUUGGUAGUUAUUAGUGAUGUGGGCCCACUAUUUUGGGAUCUCCUUUCCCCUGGACCCAACUCUCUUGGUGGAUGAAAUGGCUCUGAUCAGCUCUGGCCAGUGAGUUUGCUGACUGAAUACAUGGUUGCAGGUCUUCUGAAUGGUAUAGGACAUGGGGUUACUUGAUGUUCCGGGCCUGGGAAUGGAAUGUGUGAUCUGAGGGAAGAGUGAGCAUGGUGGGCACUGUGAUGGGCAGCGUCUGGGAAUAGAAAGGUGGAUGGAGAAGCCUGUUUAUGCUGGUGCUGGGUCACUAGAUGGGACUUGGCCUUUGAGGUCAAUACAUUAUUUCUUGUGGCUCCUUUACUUGGGUCCUGGGAACUUGGCCAUGGAACCUGGCCUGACUUACUCUCCUCACCUGUUUCCUUUUCCAUUGCUUCCAGAUGUGCAGUGAGCAGUGGCUACUGGCAGGACCCUUGCAUCCCGCUGCACCCUCAGCAUGUGGAAGGUCCUAGGCUAGGCAUCAAACCUUUACCACAGCAGUGACAGAUCCUUGUGACAGGAUAAUGCCAGAUCCUUAACCUGCUGAGCCACCAGGGAGCUCCUAGGGAUUCAUUCUAAAAAAGAGAGUGCUUUUGUGCACACUUUCCAACUUCCUCACCAGCACAGUGUCUUAGGAAAUUUUAUUUUUUGGCCAUACCUGGGCCCCUCUGUCUUAUGAAACGUAAUCUUUGUUCAUCUGAUAUAUGAUACAUGUGCACUCUUUUUAUUUUCUAUUUCUCUUGGGGUGACGUUGAAAAUGAUUUUUAUAUGCUUAGAAGCCAUUGAUCUGUCUUUUACUCUGAACUGUCCACAUUAGGGAUUAUUGCUGUUGUUGUUGCCCUGUUAAAAUGUUCAUAACACUCUUAGGUUCUGCAAGUAAUUUCUUUCUUUUUCCUUUUCUAGGGCCAUACCUGCCAUAUGGGAGUUCCUGGCUAGGGGUCAAAUCAGAGCUGUAGCUGCCAGCCUAUACCCCAGCCACAGCUAUGCCGGAUCUGAGCCUUGUUUGCAGUAUACCCUGCAGCUCUCAGCAGUGCCAGAUCCUUAACCCACUGAGUGUGGCCAGGAAUCCAAUCUGCAUCCUCAUGGAUCCUAGUCAGUUUCUUAACCUGCUGAGCCACAACAGGAACUCCUCAGCAAGUAAUUUUCAUCAAUGAAAUGGAAGGAUUUGAGACAGGAGUGUGGCUUCAUUUCAGCCAUAUUGGGAAACUGAAUGGUCCAGAGGCAGGGACCCUCCAUGGCCAGUGGCUGGCUGAGUGCCCCCUUCCUUCUUCCUCUCCUGGGUUUGCAUCUGGAGAUUGGGCACCUGCAGCCCAGCAGGAGAGGGCUUCCCAAACGUCUCCCCUGAGGACAUAUUCUUGUCCCCAGAGGGAAUCCACUGUGGAUGAGGUUCUGUAAAAUACAGUGAGAGAUGCUUUGCAGAGUUCCCAUUGUGGCUCAGUGGAUUAAGGACCUGAUGUAGACUCUAGGAGGAUGUGGGUUCAGUCCCUGGCCUCACUCAGUGGGUUAUGGAUUGGGUAUUGCCCACAGCUGGAGUGUAGGUCACACAUGUGUCAGGGUUGCAGUGUGGCAGUGGCUGUGGCAUAGGUUGGCAGCUUCAUCUCUGAUUUGAUCCCUAGCCUGGGAAC
rnacentral:lncRNA from 1 species